rnacentral:rRNA from 1 species
UACGGGGGGAGCAAGCGUUGUUCGGAUUUACUGGGCGUAAAGGGCGCGUAGGCGGUCACUACAAGUCAGUUGUGAAAUCUCUGGGCUUAACUCAGAACGGUCAACUGAUACUGUCGGACUAGAGUGCAGAAGGGGCAACUGGAAUUCUCGGUGUAGCGGUGAAAUGCGUAGAUAUCGAGAGGAACACCUGCGGCGAAGGCGGGUAGCUGGGCCGACACUGACGCUGAUGCGCGAAAGCCAGGGGAGCGAACGGG